GUUCCAGGUCCAUCCACAAGAGUAGCACCUAAGCCUACCCUGGAACCCACAGGGCCUGGAGGACGCUCCAAAGCUUCUUUGCUGACCACAUCUCCGCCAGCCACAUCCCCAGGUCCAUCAAUUUUCUCAAGCACCACAGGUUAUAACGAAUACCACAAUGCCAAUGUUCCUUCCACUUUCGUCAACUCUGGGGUCUUUAGAAAGGAAUUCUCGGGGCGGGGCCAAGAGUGAAAGCAGUGCAUUGCUUGAGCUCUCCCCCAAACCCUUCCAAAUACCUGUAAAAAAAUGGCUCAAAAAAAAUUCUACAGCAGCAGAA